rnacentral:lncRNA from 1 species
UAGCUCAUUAGCAAGUAAGAUUAACCAUCCUUUGUAUUUGUUUGGGCUGCUUUCAAUUAAAAGUUAAUGAGUAGAUGUGGUGUAGUUGAUUCCUAUUAUAAUUUAGUUAAUAGAUGAUGGGACGAGUAGUUAGAUAAUGAAAAUAAAAUUUUAAAAGUAUUGUAAUAGAGAAAUUUUAGAAAAAUGGAUGUUUUGUUGUCUGGGCA